CAGUCGCCACGGUAAGACAGAGGAUGCAAGCGUUAUCCGGAAUGAUUGGGCGUAAAGCGUCUGUAGGUGGCUUUUCAAGUCCGCCGUCAAAUCCCAGGGCUCAACCCUGGACAGGCGGUGGAAACUACCAAGCUGGAGUACGGUAGGGGCAGAGGGAAUUUCCGGUGGAGCGGUGAAAUGCGUAGAGAUCGGAAGGAACAUCUGUGGCGAAGGCGACUAUCUGGGCCAACACUGACACUGAGGCACGAAAGCGUGGGGAGCAAACAGGAUUAGAUACCCCUGUAGUCCCUGUCUCUUAUAA
rnacentral:rRNA from 1 species